rnacentral:misc_RNA from 1 species
AUUCCGUAGGUGAACCUGCGGAAGGAUCACUAGUGAUUAAAUCGAGCGUGUCUUCAUUGACCGCUCACCCUUCUCACCAUCCACAUACACCUGUGCACUGUUUAGCCUGAGCCGGUUUUCCGGUCCAGGUUAUCAUUUCAUACAAACUCUAGUCUUAUGAAUGUAAACGUUUUAAUAACAUAAUAAAACUUUCAACAACGGAUCUCUUGGUUCUC